CGGGGUGGAGCAGCCUGGUAGCUCGUCGGGCUCAUAACCCGAAGGUCGUCGGGUUCAAAUCCGGCCCCCCAACCA
rnacentral:tRNA from 1 species